rnacentral:rRNA from 1 species
AGAGUUUGAUCCUGGCUCAGAACGAACGCUGGCGGCGUGGAUAAGACAUGCAAGUCGAGCGCUGCUUAUUGUGUAGCAAUACAUGGUAAGCGGAGCGGCGCAAGGGUGCGUAACACGUGGGUAAUUUACCAUAAAGUUGGGAAUAACUCGCUGAAAGGCGAGCUAAUACCGGAUGUGAAGUUUGGAAGGCAUCUUUUGGACUUCAAAGCUGGGGACCGUAAGGCCUGGCACUUCACGAUGAGCCCGCGGCCUAUCAGCUAGUUGGUGAGGUAACGGCUCACCAAGGCUAAGACGGGUAGCUGGUCUGAGAGGACGACCAGCCACACUGGAACUGAGACACGGUCCAGACACCUACGGGUGGCAGCAGUCGAGAAUUUUUCACAAUGGGCGAAAGCCUGAUGGAGCGACGCCGCGUGGGGGAUGAAUGGCUUCGGCCCGUAAACCCCUGUCAUUUGCGAACAAGUUGUUUCACCUAACACGUGAAGCAUUGAUAGUAGCGAAAGAGGAAGGGACGGCUAACUCUGUGCCAGCAGCCGCGGUAAUACAGAGGUCCCAAGCGUUGUUCGGAUUCACUGGGCGUAAAGGGUGCGUAGGCGGUCGGGUAAGUCUGACGUGAAAUCUCCAAGCUCAACUUGGAAAUGGCGUCGGAUACUAUUCGGCUCGAGGAGUGGAGGGGAGACUGGAAUUCUCGGUGUAGCAGUGAAAUGCGUAGAUAUCGAGAGGAACACCAGUGGCGAAGGCGAGUCUCUGGACACUUCCUGACGCUGAGGCACGAAAGCCAGGGGAGCAAACGGGAUUAGAUACCCUAGUAGUCC